rnacentral:rRNA from 1 species
CGACUCCUACGGGAGGCAGCAGUGGGGAAUAUUGCACAAUGGGGAAACCCUGAUCAGCCGAUGCCGCGUGUGUGAAGAAGGCCUUCGGGUUGUAAAGCACUUUCAGCGAGGAGGAAAGGGUGUGUGUUAAUACCAUACAUCUGUGACGUUACUCGCAGAAGAAGCACCGGCUAACUCCGUGCCAGCAGCCGCGGUAAUACGGAGGGUGCGAGCGUUAAUCGGAAUUACUGGGCGUAAAGCGUGCGCAGGCGGUUUGUUAAGCGAGAUGUGAAAGCCCCGGGCUCAACCUGGGAAUUGCAUUUCGAACUGGCAAGCUAGAGUCUUGUAGAGGGGGGUAGAAUUUCAGGUGUAGCGGUGAAAUGCGUAGAGAUCUGAAGGAACACCGGUGGCGAAGGCGACCACCUGGCCAAUAACUGACACUGAGACGCGAAGGCGUGGGUAGCAAACGGGAUUAGAUACCCUGGUAG